GACGAACCUUGCUAACGUUAUUCGGAAUUACUGGGCUUAAAGGGUGCGUAGGCGGUGCAGAAAGUUGGGUGUGAAAGCCCUCGGCUCAACCGAGGAAUUGCGCCCAAAACUGCUGCACUAGGGAAGACAGAGGUGACGCGGAACUAGGGUGGAGCGGUGAAAUGCGUUGAUAUCCUAAAGGAACACCAGUGGCGAAGGCGGCUCACUGGCCCGGUACUGACGCUGAGGUGCGAAAGCGUGGGGAGCAAACA
rnacentral:rRNA from 1 species